rnacentral:rRNA from 1 species
UACGUAGGGACCAAGCGUUGUUCGGAUUUACUGGGCGUAAAGGGCGCGUAGGCGGCAAUUCAAGUCAGCUGUGAAAUCUCCGAGCUUAACUCGGAACGGUCAGCUGAUACUGUUUUGCUAGAGUACAGGAAGGGGCAAUCGGAAUUCUUGGUGUAGCGGUGAAAUGCGUAGAUAUCAAGAGGAACACCUGAGGUGAAGCACGGGUUGCUGGGCUGAUACUGACGCUGAGGCGCGAAAGCUAGGGUAGCAAACGGG